rnacentral:rRNA from 1 species
UACAGAGGUCUCAAGCGUUGUUCGGAUUCAUUGGGCGUAAAGGGUGCGUAGGCGGCGCGGUAAGUCGGGUGUGAAAUCUUGGAGCUUAACUCCGAAACUGCAUUCGAUACUGCCGUGCUUGAGGACUGGAGAGGAGACUGGAAUUUACGGUGUAGCGGUGAAAUGCGUAGAUAUCGUAAGGAAGACCAGUGGCGAAGGCGGGUCUCUGGGACGGUACUGACGCUGAGGCGCGAAAGCGUGGGGAGCAAACAGG